UGACAAACUUGACAUUGCGAAAGUUGUUUUGCCAUUUUCGUUACACAGAUCUAUUACUAGAUAGAUCGUCGAAAAUAAGAACAUAAGAAGGUAAUCGAUCUGGCACAAUAAUUUAAUGAACCCCACAACAAACCCUCAAAGCAAUUAUACCGUUAGACCACCAGUUCAGAUCGAAGCCGCGACGGACAUGCCAGCGGAUCGACAGACCACGCCACCACGGGGAGAACAGCUUGCCGCCGCCGCCGCCCGAUAAAACAAAAGGAGAAUAGCAGUUUUGAAUUCGAGAAAACACCGUUACGUCUCGUUACCGUUACCGCUGCAUCGAGACAUACACGAAACCGAUUUACAUUGCGAGGAACGAGGGAUGGCCGGACUGACAGACGAUCAGAAGCGAAGGAUCGAGGAUAACCGUCGCAUGGCCCUCGCCAAACGUGCGCAGCGACAGGUGGCG
rnacentral:misc_RNA from 1 species